rnacentral:lncRNA from 12 species
AAAUUACAUUUUAAAAUAUAUUCACAGAGAAAGCAGCCAUUUUAAAUAAUAAUAAUAUUUCACAAUGCUUCUAAAUUUACUGUAUUUUUGGUCAAAUAAAUGGAGCCUCAAUGAGCUGAAGAGACUUCUUGCAAAAACAUUCAAAUAAAAACUUACUCCAAAGUUUUGACCAGCUCUGUGUGUAUAUACUGUAUCUAUAUAUCUAUCUGUACACAUAGUGUUAUCAACAACAGACUUAAAGGGGUCAUUGGAUGCCCGUUUUCCACAAGUUGAUAUGAUUCUUUAGGGUCUUAAAUGGGUGGUUCAUUGCGAUUUCAUUUAAUGUUAGUUAGUGUGUAAUGUUGCUGUUUGAACAUAAACAAUAUCUGCAAAGUUACGAAACUGAAAGUUCAAUACAAACGGAGAUAUCAUCUUUUAAAAUUCUGGCAGUUUAAUGCCUGCAAAAAAGAAGUCUUCAUAAAAGAAGGAAAUGAUCAGCGUGUUUCUCAGAGAAGGGACAGAGCGGAGUGGAAUAAAGGUAAAUUAUGUGAACCACCCUUUUAAUAAAAAGUCUAUUGGUUAAAAUCUUCAAUGGUAGUGUAAAAAACACCCUUUUUACCCUGUCAAAAACAACUCUGUUCAUAUCAAGCCGUUUUGUUGAAUGUUCCUUUAAAUGCUAAUGAGCUCUGCUGACCCCGCCCCUCUCUUCCGUGGGGUGAUGAGCAGACUGUAAACUUUACCCACAUGUCAGCGUCACUCAGCCUCACAGCUUAUUAUACAUCAUUUCUUUCAAAUCGCAUUAAAGGCAUUAGCAUUUCAGAAAAGAAAACUCCAGCUGUGUCCAGAGAGAGUCAGAAAGCGUGUGGGAAUGUUUCAGUGUUUUGUUUUUCACACAUGGCUGACAGAGACGCUUUGUUCACGUGUGAUCCUGUGGAUAGGGUGCUGCUGUAGUAUUAGACAACAACAUCACCCACUUUUGACCAAAAUGACACAAAAAACAUUCUUUAAGGACCCAAAAUGAUCCAAUUGACCCAAAAAUGAUCAUUAGAUGAAAUUUUUCUCACCCUCAGGCCAUCCCAAAUGUAGAUGAAUUUGUUUCUUCAUCAGAUUUGUAGAAAUGUAGCAUUGCAUCAGUGUCUCAACAAUGGCUGCUCUGCAGUGAAUGGGUGCCGUCAGAAUGAGAGUCCAAACAGCUGAUAAAAACAUCACAAUAAUCCACACAUCCAUCAUAGUGAACCAAACUGUGUUGUAAUAAACAAACCAUAUAAAUUUUAACUUCCUGUUGCUUCCACAAAAUCCAGACACAUAUUUGUUUAGAGCUGUUUUAGACUUUUAGUUUGUAAACAGUUCUUGAUCUGUGCAGAUUUCUCUCCUCAUUCAGACCAGAACACUUUUUCACUGGAGGAAGCAUUGUUUUGGAUUACGGACUCAUAUUUUAGUUAAAAAAACAUCUUGAUGGAUUUGUUUCUUACAAACACGCAGCUUUUGGCUUCACAAGACAUUAACUGAUGGAGUGGAGUGCUGUGGAUUACUUAUGGAUUAUUGUGAUGUUUUUAUCAGUUGUUUGCACUCUCAUUCUGACGGCACCCAUUCACUGCAGAGCAUCCAUUGCUGAGAGACUGAUGCAAUGCUAUAUUUCUCCAAAUCUGAUGAAGAAACAAACUCCUCGACAUCUUGGAUGCCCUAAAGAUGAGUAAAAAUUUCAGCAAAUGUUCAUUUUUGGGUUAACCAUCACUUUAAAUAUCUAUGAAAUCAAAAUGGACUUUUCUAAUGCUGUUCUCUACUAAUUUUUUAUGUUUUACCUGUAAAAUGGAAUGUAAAUAAAUGGGGAACGAAAACACCUUUCAUGUUAUUAAGAGACAAAAAAAGACCAGAGACACAAACUGUCCACAAUAAACAACUGUCAUAGGAUGUAUUUUUGUUCCAAGUGGCAAAUCACUGAGAAAAGCACGGGCAAAGAGUAAUAAAUACGGAGCCUACAGCCUUUUCCGCAAAAUCUGAAAUCUUUUGCACAAACGCAUGUAUUCACAACAACAUCACACUCGCCGACUCACACAUUUAUUUUGAUUUAAUUAUACAAUGAUCACUUCUUUGACUCCGUUUAACAUAAUACUGAGCACUGAAUCGUUCAAAGGCAAAAGGAGAAGGUGACGUUACAAAGUUUCAUUUCAAAAGAAUAUUUAUAUCCAAUGAAUGUCAUUAUACACACCUUAGAAACCGUACUAUUGUGCCAAAUCUCUGGACAAUAACUGUUUUAUGUACAAAAAGGGCAAAAACAGAGGGACGCGUCGCUCCACUUCAGCAGCCCCAGUCUCUCGGUCGGUUUCCCAUAAUGCACCAUGAAUGGUAAUGUCCCUAGACUCGACAAGGCAUUUCAGUUCUUCGGUUUAACUGGAUUAGUCCGAUACGAGAUGAAAGAGCUUCAUAUGAAAUACUCUUUUUGGUUA